GAUGAACGCUGGCGGCGUGCCUAAUACAUGUAAGUCGAACGGAGUAUGUAGCAAUAUAUACUUAGUGGCGAACGGGUGAGUAACGCGUUGGUGACCUGCCCCGAAGCGUGGGAUAACAGCUCGAAAGGGCUGCUAAUACCGCAUGAGGUCUCUGAGGUUAGAGGCUUAGAGACGAAAGGAGCAAUUCGCUUUGGGAGGGGCCUGCGUCCCAUCAGCUAGUUGGUAAGGUAAAGGCUUACCAAGGCGAAGACGGGUAGGGGGCCUGAGAGGGUGACCCCCCACACUGGCACUGAAACACGGGCCGAGACACCUACGGGAGGGCAG
rnacentral:rRNA from 1 species